GUCAUGGUAAAGUAGAUGUGAAUGAAAUCAAAAGCAUAUAUUUUAUAAGACCAAAAAACAGGCAAAAUGAAAAAUCCUUGUUUUGUCAUGGUAAAGUAGAUGUGUUUGAAAUAAAAUGUAUCAUAUGAAGACUAAUUUACAUGCAAAUAUGUAUUUUUUAUGACAAGCCUCUACCCCUUGCGACGCAAAAUCUGACACCCCGAGC
rnacentral:lncRNA from 1 species